CAAUACACACACGGGUGCUCGAGGGAGACGUCGGGCUGAGAUCGGGACGCGAACCGUCCACGAGACCGUUACACCUGAUCCGGGUAAUGCCGGCGAAGGAAGGAGGUGCCGAUGAAGA
rnacentral:ncRNA from 2 species